CCAUUAUCAACAGAGCUUCCUUUGAUUUCAGCGACCAUCCUUUGCGCAAAGCAAACCCACAAGACUUAGUCCCAUUCUUCGAAAAAAUUAUUCAUAAAGAUGGGUCAACUUCCUUCGUCGAUGGGAUUCCUUCACCUCGCCUUCUUUCAACUCACCUUCCUUACUCUUUGUUCCCAACACGCAUGACCGAUGAUACCUCGGCUUGCCGUUUCGUAUACAUCUCCCGGGACCCCAAAGACGUUUUCGUUUCAAAGUGGCAUUUCGCGAGCAAGUUGAGACCCAAAGAACUGCCACCACUUUCACUAGAGGAAACCUUUGACUUGUUUUGCAAAGGGGUUUCUCACUAUGGACCGUUUUGGGAUCACGUAUUGGGGUACUGGAAAGCUAGUGUGGAGUCACCGAAGAAGGUGUUGUUCUUGAAGUAUGAAGAUGUAAAGAAGGAGCCUUUGGGUUGUGUGAGGAAAGUUGCAGAGUUCUUAGGAGUACCCUUUACACCAGAGGAAGAAAACAAAGAGAUUGUGGAACAAAUAGUGAAGCUGUGCAGUUUUGAGAGCAUGAGCAAUCAAGAUGUUAACAAACUUGACAAAAGAUAUCAGCAACGUCCUGUUAGCAACUCUGAUUUCUUCAGGAAAGGUGAAGUUGGAGACUGGGUUAACCAUUUGUCACCUCAAAUGGCUGAGAAAUUGGAUCAGAUUACUGAAGAAAAACUUCAAGAUACUGGAUUCAACUUUCAUUGACUCCAAAGUAUCUCACUGAAUUUGAUUCAUAUUUGAAUGAAGAUUUUCUUUUUAAUUACGUGAUUUGCGUAUUAUGUGUCUUUUUCUAUGUAAUCUUUUUUGUAUCUUCAAAAAUAAUAUAAUACAUCAAGAAUAUCAAAUUAUACAUUAUUAUUUUAACUCUAAAAUUAAUAUAUUUUUAUAAAAUUCUAGAACCCUACGUUUUAAAAUUCUAGACUUUAAAACUUAAAUCCUAGACCUCUUUUUAGACACUAGACCUUAAUUUAACACUUCCUCUAAAAUUAUAAAUCUUAAAAUUUUAAAUUCUAACUGACCAUACCAUAAAUCAUAAAUCUAGUUUAAAAAACCAUACACCUUAUGCUACUAUUACUAUUUGUUACUUUUAUUUAAUUUUUCGAACUAGAAUAGAUUAGAACAACAUUAAACUAAAAAUCGAAAUGUAUCCGAAGUUAAAUUAGAAUAAACUAAAAAUACAGUCAAAUCAAUACAAAACACCAAUAAACUAAAAAUUAGAAUAAUCUAAAUUUAAAUCAAAAUAAUUAUUCAAGUUAUAUUUUGCAUUAUAUUAGAAUUGGUGUUGAAAUUGUAAAAAGGAAAAUGAUUAAUAUGGUAUUCAUGAUUCUUGUUUUCAGAAUACGAUAUUGAUAUGAGGACAACUUAAUUACUUGAUGUUUGAAUGAGCUGGCGGCAAUUAGCUUUUAUUCUAUGUUGAGAUACCUACCGCCAUUAAACAAAUCAAUAUUUAAUUUAAAACUACCACAUCAUAUGGCAUACAGAAAUUAAAAAUUGCCUGUUACUGUUACUUGAGUAAAAUAAAAAUCGAUCAUUUGCAAAUCCUUUUUCCAUAAUUUCCCUUCCCCAUGGAGAAUUCAAACUUUUUCGCCAUUGAGAAAGAAUUAAAGCUCGAUGAAGGGUACCAAAAGACAUACAAAAACGUCGAUGAACUGCUGCCCACUCUCCCUCGAAGUAAAGGCUGGUGGUUAGACCAGCUUCUUCAAUACCAAGGGUUCUGGUUAUCAACUUACGGCAUUCCAGGAAGUAUGUUGAUCGAUGACCACUUCAACCCUCGUCCCACUGACAUCAUCAUCGCAACAUCACCUAAAUGCGGCACCACGUGGCUUCGGGCCCUCGUUUUCUCUAUUAUCAACAGGAAUUCUUUUGAUUUCAGCGACCAUCCUUUGCGCAAGGCAAACCCUCGAGACUUGGUCCACUUUCUCGAAGCACAUAUUCGUGGAGAUGGGUCCACUUUAUCAACGCAGCAUAAAUUGUUAAAUCUAUAUCUAUAUAAUCUAAUAUAUAUAUAAAGAAGAGUUUGGAAAAUGUAAAUAUCUUUUAUUUAUAUUACUAAAUUUAUAUUUAAAAAUAAAAAAAAAAUUAAAGUAAAAAUAAAUUUGUGAUAAUUAUACAUUUAAAGUAAAAAUUAUGUUAAUUUUAAAAUGAAGUUAUUACUUGAACUCAAAAUGAUGGUUCUCGAAGCCACCAAAAAUAAUUUUUCUAUGCCUAAACAAUAUAUAAAUGGUAUCAACCAAAUUGUGCAUCUAGGCAGCUAUCAUGUCUAAGAUGUGUGCAAACAUAAAAAAAGAAUAUUUAAAUAUGAUAAAAUAAUUGAAAUCGAAAUAACAAUAAAAAUAGACAGAAAUGGAAUUUAAAUAAAUAAACUGAUAUGAUGAAACUCCAACUUCAGGCUCGAUGUUGUUCUGAUUUCGAACCGGUCAUUAAUAACAAAUAUUCUCCUUCAACCGAUAAAUUAAUUAUAAUAAUUGAAGACAUCUCAAAUCACUAACACUUUUAUGUAUAAAUCAAUUGUGAAAAUUCUCAACAAUUAAUAUUUACAUGUCUCCACAAUUUAACUCUCCAAUAAGGGUUUUUUACAAAAAUAUUAUAAAAAAAUAAAAAUUUACCAAAAUAUAAUCCUUUUUUUAUUUACUAAAAUAUUAUAAAAAAAUUUUAUUUACCAAAAUAUACUAAAAAAAACACAAAAAAAACUGACACAGCCUGAUCACGCCAAUGUCAUUGGUGGCACCAAUGGUGCCAAUGCCAUUGGCGGCACCAAUGUGCCAAAGGACUAAAAUGUGACCACUUGUAGUUUCAAGGACCUGACAUGCAAAUUUACCAUUUUAAAUUUUGAAAGUGAAUUGCUGUUGUUGUGCGCACUAAAAGUGAAAUGUGGCUAAUUGCCUUCUAAGCCCUCCUUACUUAUUAUUUACUUUUUAUUCCCUUCAACUCACUUUUUUAUUUAAUAAGCAAGCCCUCAACCUAUUUUUGUAGUUAAAUAAGCUCUUAAUCUAUGAUUUUUACUCAUAAAAGUAAUUUAUUUUAUUAUUAAAGUAAAUAUGUUUUACCUAAAGUAAAGCUAUUUAAAAAAGUAUAAACUAAUUCGCAUUUUAUGUAUUAUUUUCGUAAUUUGAUGAGAAUAGUUUAUUUAAAAAAUUUACUAAAUUUGAUGAGAAUAGUUUAUAAUUAUACUUUAUUUUUUCUAUUUGGGUUACAUUUAUAGGUGAUCAGUUUUAUUAUUACUUAUAGUUAAGUGAUAAUUAAGAUACUUAGAAUUCUAAUUAAGUAAUAACUCUAUUUUAAUUUAAUAAACUAUUCUCAUUUAAUAACUAUAUUUUAAAUUAAUAGAAAUAUCAGACAUGCCUUAUUGAAAAACCAGAAGUAAUAAUAAAACUGAUCACCUAUAAAUGUAACCCAAAUAGAAAAAAUAAAGUAUAAUUAUAAACUAUUCUCAUCAAAUUUAGUAAAAUUUUUAAAUAAACUAUUCUCAUCAAAUUACGAAAAUAGGUUAAGGGCUUGUUUAUUAAAUAAAAAAGUGAGUUGAAGGGAAUAAAAAGUAAAUAAUAAAUAAGGAAGGCUUAGAAGGCAAUUAGCCACAUUUCAAUUUUAAUGCGCACGUAAUUCACUUUCAAAAUUUAAAAUGAUAAAUUUGCAUAUCAGGUCCUUGAAACUACAAGUGGUCACAUUUUAGUAAUUCACUUUCAAAAUUUAAAAUGAUAAAUUUGCAUAUCAGGUCCUUGAAACUACAAGUGGUCACAUUUUAGUCCUUUGGCACAUUGGUGCCGCCAAUGGCAUUGGCACCAUUGGUGCCACCAAUGGCAUUGGGGUGCCGCCAAUGGCAUUGGCGUGAUCAGGCUGUGUCAGUUUUUUUUUUGUGUUUUUUUUAUUUUUUUAGUAUAUUUUGAUAAAUAAAUUUUUUUAUAAUAUUUUAGUAAAUAAAAAAAAGAUUAUAUUUUAAUAAAUUUUUAUUUUUUUAUAAUAUUUUUGUAAAAAACCCCUCCAGUAACGUAAAGUAAAAAGGUCCCAACGCAAACCAACCUUCAAAGCCUAACCGGCUUUGGAAUUAUUUAUAGGCAAUAAUGUUAUCUUAUUUCUGGAAGUUCAAAUUUAAUAUCUUAACCGAUUCAUAGCUUGUGCUUCAGCCUUAUUCCAGCAAUGAUUAAUUAAUCAUUUUUAAGCAAUAUAUUAUUAACCAUGUUUAACAUUUAUAACAAUGGAAUACAUGAUUCGGUUUGGAAUUAGUUUUUCUAUUUCCAGCUUAAUUUUCAAAAAUAAAUAUAUAAAUUUUAAUAUAUAAAUAAAUAUAAAUUAUAUAUUUUUUAUAAUUAAAUUUGAUAAAAAUAUUUAUAUUAUUUCUAAUAAUAAAACAGAUUAUUUUGGCAUAACGGUUUCAAGCUUAAUUUUUUUAAACAUUAAUUUUAUUAUAAGUUUUAUCAUAUAUGUUCUUUCCCAAUCCUUUAAGUAGGAGGAUAAUACGUUUCAGUGUACUGAAACCCACAUCAUCUUACAUUAACAAUAAUAUCGAUACCAAUAAAAUUAAAACUCAAUCGACCACUUAAUUUUUUUUAAAUCGAAUUUAAGCUUCUUCUUAUCCAUCAACGCUUCCAAUGCAUAUUGAAAAUCAAGCUUACAUUUAGUGAAAUGCGACAAUUUAUUUUGUAUGGUCAAAAUAUUGUGUAUAUUAAAUUAUAGCAUAUUCAAGAUGUAAGUGAAAAAUAAAAUUAUAUGAUAAAUAUAUUUAUAAAAAAUUUAUAUAAAUAAAAAGGUGAAAACCUAAAGUAGCAUGAAUUUAAAUUUUAUUAUGUAUUUAUUUUCUAACUUUUAUAUAAAAGGUAUAACAUGAUACAAAUACUCUCAAAAUAAUAUAAUUUAUUUUGUAAAAUGAGGAUAUUUUUAGUUUUUUUUUCCAACUGAGUUGGUAUUCAAUUAAUUCAUAAACACAAACUCUAUUAGGAACUUGACUAUCAACCAUCUAAAAUAGUAACAAAAUUGAGUCUGCCUUGUGGCACGAAUUAGGGUUUUUUGUUUGCCUUGUUGCACAAGUUUACGUAUUGAGUUUAUUUUGUUAGGGUUCGUGGUGUGCAGAAAGGUUAGAUCUCAUAUUCAAGUGUGUGUUAUGGCUAAUCUUAAUAUGGUGGGGGCAGAUCUAGCAAAUCUCAAUAUUAUGGAUGAGGAGAAAGAUCCGUUGGUGGUGGUAGGGGAUGAUAUGUCUGCUGAUCCAGAAUAUGGAUUAUGUCUGGUAGGGUGAGUUCUCACAGAUAGUAUUGUGAACUUCCCAUCUCUAAAAAAUACGCUGGCAAAUUUGUGGCACCCGCUAAGAGGAGUAUCUAUUAUGGAAAUUAAAGAUAAGCAUAUUUUAUUUCGGUUCUAUAGUAAAAUUGAUUUAAAACGGGUUAUGGAUGGCAUGCCAUGGUUUUUCAAUCGACAUCUGAUAGUAUUUCAUAGGCUAAUAAGGGGUGAGGAUCCAUCAAUAGAUUCGUUAUGGACUACAACUUUCUAGGUGCAAAUCCACAAUUUACCAGCUGAAUUUAUAACAGAAAGGAUGGAGCAACAAUUAAGGGAUUUUUAUUGGAAAAUUUAUGGAGUAUGACGCAUCGAUGGUCAAAAGGGAUUAGUAAAUAUAUACAGAUUCGAGUUACAAUGGAUACAGGAUCCUACUUAAAGGAAGAAACGGAUUGGUAUUGGGCAAAAUAAAUUCAUCUAUGCAUUGUUUCAAUAUGAAAAAUUGUCGUUAUUUUGUUUUUUAUGUUGUCGUCUUGGUCAUGGAGAGAGUUUCUGCCUAGUACGAUUAACAUUAAGGGAUCAACAAGUGGAUUUUGGCUAGGACCUAUCUUUAAGGGCUACGCCAAGAAGGGAAGGGAUUGAUGAACAAAUGGUUGCGGGAGGAAUCUGAGAAUGAAAGGUAGGCAAAUAUGGAUAUCGAUAGGGAGAAUACGGUAAAAACAUAAAUGAGGCACGGGUUUGGUGGGGCGGUUUAUGCGAUAUACAAGAAAGCCUAUGGAUUUGAGGAUUGAAUAUAAUAUGGGACAAAUUGAGGGAAGGAGAGAUGAAGUAGAGUUAAAAGAUAUGCCUGUAGAAUUUGUGGAUUGGAAGAAAAGGAAAAGAUUUAAUCUUGAAGUAGGUGGUCCUGAUAACAGGAGGGGCUUGCUGGAGGGAGGAUUGGAAAAUGUAAUAUCGGCUGCCACUACCGAGCAGGCUGACCGAGCACAAUAAAAAUAUUCAGUUGGAAUGUUCAUGGCUUGGGGCAGCCACGAGCAGUCUAUCGUCUCAAAAAUAAGUUGAGACACAUUCAACCCCAUAUUUUGUUUCUUAUGGAAACAAAGGUUGCUAGUAAACGUAUGGAGAAAAUAAGGAGGAAGUGUGGAUUUGAACAUGGAAUUAACGUUGAAGCAGAAGGAACAAGAGGGGGGAUUAUCGUUGGGAUGAAGAGAAGGAAUGAAUUUAACUUUAAAAAACUUUUCAAAAUCUCAUAUUGGUGUGAAGGUGGAUGAAGGGAAUGAAAAUAGUGUAUGGAGUUUCACAGGUUUCUAUGGAGCGCCUGUGGAGAAUGAUCGAAAAUUUCGAACAAAAUUUUCACGAAAUCUUUCCAUGAAAUUGUAGACCAUAAAAAUAUAAUAAAAAUAAUUUUUUUCCUCAUUGGAUUUAUGGUCUCGAAACCACCGUUCUGACUAGGCCCAAAAUUGGGCUAUUACAUGACCCUAUCACAGCCCGUGUCGUCACCCGUGUAACUUACUGAGUAGGGUCACACAGCCGUGUGGCAGACCAUGUGCCAGACCGUGUAACUCUCUGAGUUGUCACACACGCCCAUGUGCUAGGCCUUGUAACUCACUAAAUUGAAACAAUAGAAUUUUACAAAUGACACAUGGCCGUGUCGCCAGGUCGUGUGUGUCGUAGGAUAGUGUGACAACUCGUGUCCCAGGCCGUGUGAUCCCAAAAAUUUACCUAAAAUCAAGUCAUGUCAAUUCUAAUUCAUACCUAAUAAUUCAAACCAUUUGGACAUAUAUUCAAGGGAUUCAAACAUAUUUAAACAUACAUAAUCAUGCAAUUCCAAACAGCUUAAAUCACCUAACCAAUAUGUCAUUCAAAGGCACCACAAUUGUAUCAAAACAUCACUUACCAAACACAAGUCAAUAUUGCAUAUUCCUAAGCAUAAUAACUUAGUUCAACUAACUAUCAUACAUGAACAUUUGCAAGCCAUCAAAACAUACCCCAAAGAUCCUUAUUUACAAGCACAUAAAAGUGACCAAAAUAACAUAACUUGGUGAGGUGUUAAGAUUCACCAAACCAAAUAUAAACUUCAAAACUGUGAAAUGGGCCUGCUCACAUGAGCUGUGGGUCGGAAUGUUAGCUACACAAUGUUGCUCACACGAGUUGUGAAAAAUCCGCAAUAAAUGUUGGAUCUUAGCCAUCAGUAGGACAUUCAAGACCAGCACCUGAAACAUGAAAUCCCUAAUGACAUGUCAUUCGUAUCCUAAGAAUUCUUAAGGUUCAACUAGGACUCGUUAUCCGUCGGUUCAACAUAGCAUGGAUACAUUUAUAUAGAGAGUCAUUUAUAUUAAAACAACAUGGCAAAUAAUCAAUUUAACUAACAUUAAAAUGAUCAUAAUUCUUACGAACUUACCUCGAUAACUAGGGUGUAGAAGUAGAAACGAACAUUAAUCGAAGCUUUAGCUUUUCCUUUAUUUAAGUCCAAAUAUGGUUUAUCUUGAUAUAAAUAAAUAAUUUCAAUCAAUUAAGUACUUUUAGUAUUCAAUUUAAUCCAUAGUUCAUAUUUAUGAAAAAUCACAAAUUUUCCCCUAACAUUUUAACUUUUAACAAUUUAGUCCUUAAGCUCAUAACUUGAAAUUUAACCAUUUUAAUCCUCCAUACUAACUAUCCAAUUUUCAUAGCUUCUUAUACCAACUCACUUAAACCAUCAUUUCAUAAUUUUAACUUGAAAUUUUACUAUUUUCACAAAUAAACCCCUAAAUACAAUUUCACCAAAAUUAACUUAACAAAACUUGUUUAUUUUACAACAAAGAUAAAUAAUCCAUAAAAUAACAUCAAAACACAUUCAAAAGCAUUCAUGGAAAGUCCCUUAACCUUUACUAGUUUUACAAAUUAACCCCCAGCUAACUAGAUUAAGCUAAAACAAGCUUAAAAACAUAAAAAUCAUGAAAAACAAGUUGAAAAACACAUACCAUGCACUAGAACAAGCUAGUUGAACCAAGCAUUCAAAAAUGGUGUUCUUCUCCCCUUAAAAUCGGUUAAAGAUGAAAAUAAAAAAUGAUACAUGCUUUAAUUUCUUUUGUUUUAGAUUUAAUUUCUAAAUUACCAUUUUAACCUUAUUAUUAACCAAAAUUUUCAUUAAAACCUAUCCAUAAACAUCCAAUAACUUCUUUAAUUUUUAUAAUUAUCAUUCAAGUCCAUUGAGUUUCAUUUCCAUAGCCAGUUGACCCCUUUAACUAAUAGAACUCAACUUUUUCACCUUUUAUGAUUUAGUCCUUUUUACUUAAUUUACCUUUUAAACAUCAAAAUUUCUUAGCAAAAUUUUAAUACGACCUAAAUAUAAUCCCGUAGAAAAUAAAUGAAUAAUAAAAUAAUAACUUACUUCUCAAAAUUCUGGUCUCGAAACUACUAUUUUGACACCACUGAAAACGUGUUUUUACACUUAUCAUGUAUAUGCCAAGAGUUAGUUGGGAUUUAUAUGUAAUGAUUUAUUUCCUAACCUUAUAAUGUUGUGUAUAGGAAAGGAAGUUUGGCAUACGACUUGAUGAGAGUAGGUUUGGUUGUUUAAUUUAAUAUGAUUGGUAAGUUAAGUGUCGCCUAUACGAAUUUACUAAGCAUUAAAUGCUUACGUAAUCGUUUCCUCUAUCUUGUAGUUUAUCGAAAAGUUCAGUUGGUUGGAAUCUCGUCGGAGUAUCGUCACACUAUCUAUUUGUAAUAUUGGUAUUUAUAGUUAUUUUAGUUAAUGGUUAUAAAUGGCAUGUAAUAGGGUUAUAAAUGUAAUCUUGGUAAUUGGUUUGUUUUUAAAUGGUGCCAAGUUCAUUCAUUUUCGUAUCAUUCAAUGAAAGCUUAAAUGACGUAUAUUCAUAUGAGAUAUUAGUAACUAUGCAUGCCCUCAUGUGAGUAGAAAGAAGAAAAUUUUGUGUGAUAUAUUUGAUAUGGUUAUUUGGUAUAUAUAGGACUUUGUGUAUUGGUAGUUUUUGGAUAUCGUAAUGGUCAAUUUGGUAUGUAUAUGCCUUUGAUGUUCAUGUUUGGUUUAAUGGACUUUUAAUGCCUUCUCAAGUUAGGUCAUUUUUGGCCAUUUUUAGGUACUUGAAAUAUAAGACUCUUUUUGGUAAGUUUGUAAUGGCAUGUAAAUGCUCAUAUGUGAUACCAUUUGGUAAAUAAAUAAACUAGGUUUUGUGCUUGAGUAUGAAUAUAUUGAAUUGUGUGGUUAAUGAUGUUAUGGUAUAAAUGUGAUGCAUUUGAAUUCCAUAUUGGUUAGAUGGAAUAGGAUAAUUGAAAUGGUAUGUUUAAAUGUGUUUGAAAAAUGUUUAAGUCUCUUGAAUGUGUGCACAAAUGGCAUGGUUGGCUAAUUGUGUCACACACGGCCUAAUUUUAGGGUCAAAUUAUGGAUCACACGGCCUAGGACAAGGGCUGUCACAUGGCCUGGUGACACGACCGUGUGUCAUUUGUUAUUUGUUUGUGUAUCAAGACAAAGAGUUAAACAGUCUAACACACAGCCUACGACACUGUCGUGUGACCCAACUCAGUGAGUUACACAAGUUGAGACAUGACCGUGUGUCCCUUUGUUUGUUUAUCACACGGGUUGAAACAUGCCUCAAAAUUAUUAUAAAACCAUUCAAAAUAAAUGUCCAAUGUCCGAAGUCCAUUUACAGCCAAAAUCAAACUAAUUCCCAAUAUACCACAAUGCCAGACUACAGUCUCUAAAAUGCGUAAUAAAGUCUCUACCAAGCCUAAAUCUCUUGGAACUCUCUUGGUCGGCUCCUCAGCUCUUCAAUCCUGAUGAAUAUCUGCACGAAUGUAAGCUCAGUGAAUGUUAAAAAAAACAAUAAGUAAAUUAACAUCAAAUUCAUGCUUAAUUCACAACCAAUCAUUCACCAAUUGUUAGCUAAAAUAAUUAAACAUGUCAAUUUAAUUUUCAUAAACAUUUUAAUACCGAAAAUCAAUUAUUCAUGGCUUUCAAUCAUCAAUUGAUAUAGCAACAAUCACACAAAAAUAUAUAUUGGCAUUCAUUUCUUAUGGCUUAAUCGGGUGAUCAUACAUCAGGUAAACGAAUCUCUGAACUCCCACAAAUAUCAAAUACAGUCCACUGAGUUAAGUGGACCGAAGCACAUGCUCCAUUAUAGCGCCUCAAAUAACCCAUUGAAUGGAGACUUAUGUUCAACACUUCCUUAUCUACUCCAAGAAAUCAGUCCAUCUAGAGCCUCAUUGCUCACAAAUAACAUUUCAAUAUAGUGAGUACUCACAAAUCCUAUGGCAUGACAACUAUAUCCAAUGGAUCCACCAUGCAUGUUGCCAAUAUAUUCAAUCAAACAUAGCAAAUAAUAAGUUAUUAUUAUGCUCAAUUUAAUGUGACAAAAUGAUUAUGCAUAUUGCACAUUUACAACCAAUCCAUCAAAAAUUAACCAUUCAACCAUAAUUAAUUAAUUGUGAUAAUUAAUUAAGCUUCUAAUUAAACAUAAUUAAGGGUCAAUUUACCAAAUCACCCCUAAAAACACUCACCACACAAUUUUUUUCUACCACAACAAGUGAUCAACUAGGCAAGUUCGAGCUUCGAUUCCGGUUAUCUCGGUCCUCUUCAAGAUUUAGAGUUUAAACAGAGGUAAAGUAGACAUUAUCCCCUUUUCAAAGCUAUAUUAAACACAAUUUUUAAUUAACUAUGCUAAUAGAAAUUUACUCACAAAGAUACAUUACCGAAUUUGUAACAUCAAGUCGAAAACUCGAUUCCUCACAAAAUCGACCUCCCCAACCCUCCUAAUCACUUCCAAACAUCAAUACUAAAACAAUUACAUGUAAAAUAAGAAUCAAUUUCACAAAAAUCCAGAAAAUUAAUUCAAGAAGAUGAUGAAAUUCAGAUUUCUUCAAAUUCCCUCACAAAUCAUGUUUAAUCUUGAUAAAUAAGAUCAAAAACCUUCUAAUAGAUCCAAUUGAGUUGGAAAAUCUAUUGAUUCGUGGAUCUCCUCUCAAAAUUAAAGACCCACCAUUAAAGCGCCUUAAGCUUUUGAAGAAGAUGACAUUGAUAAAAAAAAUCAUGCAAUUGACUCUCAAAUCAUGUAAAAUUGUUUCUAAUCAUCAUAAAAAUAAGUUUAGAAAUGAUAAUUACCUUUGAUUCGUUUUAAAUCCUUUGAUUCAUUUUAAAUCCUUUGAUUGAAAUUCUUCAUUCAAUAAUCUUGAAAAUUUUCAGAAUAUUUUUGGAUACUUUUGAGAAUAAUUUCGGGUGAAAAGAGAGAGUAUUUUGAGAAGGAAAUUGUUUGGAUCUAUGAUUUGAUGAUAGAUCUUUAAAUCCAUGCAAAGAAAAUCAAAUUUAUAUAUAAUAUGAUGUGAAUGGUGUGAAAAAUAGGCUAGAUGCAUUGUUUCUAAAGUUGAAACAACCCACCAGAACUUAAAAACUGGGGAAUUUACCUAAUGGCCACUCCUACAUUUCCCUUGUUUUACCAUUUAAUCUUUUCCCUAAAAAAUUUAAAAUUUUAAUGUUCAUUUGCCAAAUAAAUACCCCCAAAAUUUUCCUUAUUUUACAAUUAAAUCAAAUUUAAUUAAUAUUUAAAUUUAACUCAAUUUAACCCUCAAUAAAAAUUGUUUUAAAAUUCUUUUUGGACCCAAAUUAAUUAUUUUCACUAAUAAUUAUUUAAUUACUUUAAAAUUAAUUUUUCAAAAAUAUUUUAUUUUUCUAAAUUAUUUUUUAAUUGAUUUUAAAUGAAAUUAACCUCCUAAAUUAAAUUAAGAAUCACUAAAAACCCUAUAAUUUCAUAGUUUCACACUCGAAACCUGAAAAAUACACCCGAAACUUCUAGACUUGGUUUAGGGAUAUUACAUGAAGACUAGACAGACAAAUCACGACAUGAAGGCGUGUAAGCCCAUGUGACGGAGACCCAUAGUAUGAUAUGUUGAUAAGAAUAUUCAUAGUGAUGCCUUUGAUGAUAUAUAAAUCAAACUGGUAGAUCAUGACAUGAAGAUAUGUAUAAGCCCAUGAGGGAGAAACUCAUGACGCCUUAUGUGAAAGUCUACUGGUACAGUAAAAAUGUGACUCUGUAUGUGGCCUGUGUGGCGUGAUCUGCUAAGCCAUACUGGCAUAUUUUGUACUUCCAUUGUGGCAAAUUUUGUAGCGCUUAUGUGGCGUAUUCAAUGAUAUGUGUGUGAGGCAGAAUAUACUAUCUGCCCUUGUGGUAAGUUUGAUGACUUCUUCAAAAUAAGAUUCUACGAUAGUGGUAUGAUACAUCUGAAAUUAACUUGGUAUGAUUAGUCUUGUGUUGUUUUUGAAUGACUGUAAAAGGAUGGUUUCGGAUAGAAAGUAUGUAUCUGCAUUUCUAAGAAAGAAUCCACUAUAGCAAUCUGUCAGUAUAGGAUAUGGGUAUAUUCAUAUAUCUGAAAGGUACAAGUAUUUGUUUGUUUGAGUUUUAUCUAUGCUAUGUGUGAAUAAAGUAUGAGAUCUGAGAUCCGUUUAUGUGAAUAGAAUUAUGUAUCGUCCAGGGGUUUAUUGGAAUAUGAGUCGUUUGUCUAUAUGGGUGUUCUUAUGUUAUGUAUCAUAGACGUAUGAGAUUCUUCUAAUUUUUUGGAAUCCUUCCUCAACUAUAUGAUCAUGUAUUGGUUUUGAGUUAGAAUAUGAUUGGAUUGAUAGUCUGAUGAAGGUUAACAAACUCAGUAUGUGAAUCUGCCAACCGUAAGAUCAAAUUGUUGUAUCCGUCAAGAAAGAGUAUAUGUGGAUGUCCAUUUUAAGAUAAAUGAGAUGUUUCAUUUGAAGGGUAAAUUUGUAGAAAGAGGGUUUUGUAUAGAUAUCUUUUUGAAGAAUUUUCGUGUUAUUAAGGUAAAAAAAGGUAUAGAUAUUAUCUGGUAAGAUUUGGAGACAACCAAAUAAUGAAGUGAAAGUUGAUACAUUAAGUAUGGUAAUUGGCGUAUAAAUGCAAGUUCGAUAUUAUAAAAGUAUUCGCCCAAAAAAAUGAUAUGUUAAGGAUGGAAACUAAAGUACAGUCGUAUAUCCAAUAUUAUAAAAGUACCCGCCAAUGUAUUCUGUAAUAAAGCCCACUAAGUUUGCGUAACUUACAAGCGUCAUGUUUAUGUUUAAGGUAUUAUUGUAUGAGUGAGAGCACCUGGAGGGACGAAGCUAGGAAUGCACCAAGGAAGCGGCGAACUGAGUUCUUAUGCAUAUAGUGGACAACUUGGGAAAGCAACAUAUAGUAGGACUACGCCUUAAAGAGUUUGUCUUUAUUAAAGUUUUGUGUUGUAAAAAGUUAUGACAAGGCUGAUGCAUUUUUAAAUACUUUUCUUUGUUUAUUUAAUUGUGAUUCUUAAUAAAAUAAAAAGAAAUAUAUUUUAUUAAAGGGAUAUUCAAAUAUUUUAAAAUUUUAACUAAGCGUAUUUGUUUGGUAAUACCUAAGAUCUGAACCUGGUAAUUCGGGUCGAGUUGAAGGCGUUAUAAAAUGCCUCCAACCAGUAGCUAAACCAUAUCUUUUGAGAAUGAAAGGUUUUGUAUAUAUGUAUAAGGAUAUGAUAUUUUACAUGAAUCAACACUUGUAUGCAUCAUGCCAAUAAAUUAUGUUACAUACUCCCCAUUAAAAUUGAUUUCUAGUCUGGAGGCAAAUAUAACUCAUUUUAGAAUUUUCGAGUUGCCGUAUAUGUUCAAGUCGCUCCAUCACAAUGCACAAAAUGAUAUUUAAAGAAAGUUGAGAAUAUAUAUUAAUUAUAAGUCUCUUUGUAUUAUUAGAUGUUUUUGUUCGAAUUGGAGAUUCAAUUAUGAUAUGAUUUAAUGAUUACAACUUUAAUUUAACAAGUUUUCCUAACAUAAGGGGAAGAGAUAUGGUAGUAGCAAGAUGAAAUGAUUAAAUUGAAUGAAUUAUCAUUAUCUAGAUUCUCGCAAAAAUUAAUUUAAACCAAAAGUUCAAAGAGAUAAUUUAUUUUAUUUCAAGUUAACUGCCAGAUGUAUUUAUUGACCUAUAGAGAAAAACCAAGAGUUAUAUAUCAGCUAAUGCGUUGAAGUCACAAUCGGACAACCUGCUAGAAUAAAUUGAAAGUAAUGCAUGUUUAAAGCAUGGUAGAUCCAUCAAUUUCAAAGAUGAAAAUUCUCGUAAAAAAAAUAAAUCAAGAUAACCAUUUAGUGGAGGCGGGUGCUCUUGAAGAGACCCAAGGCAUAACUAAUUAUUAACACUUCAAGAAGAAAUUUAGGUACAUGAUGAUGAAAAUAGUGAAAAUAAAGAGAUAUCAAUAGGAUAUGUCAAUACGAGAAAAUGUGAAACCAUGAAAAUAAAAAGUUGUCGACAAUGAUUUUGCAAUAUUGAAAUAAUAAAAGAAAAUGAGGAUCUUGAAUAAAUUUGUCAAGAAAUAUAUACAUGAAAUAGAUUGGCCAAAACAGAAAGAUUCAACUCAAGUAUAAUCAAAUUCGUUAAGUUUUUGGACCAAAUAUCUAAAGGUAUAAAGCCAAUAAGGGUAUAAAUUAAGUAGCUUUGAAAAAUGAAAUAAGGAAAAUAUAGUUUUUUUCACUAAGUCCUAGAAUUGAUUAUGAAAUAUACUCUUUUGUGGUAGAUGCAAUAACCUUUAGAUAUCUUAUUAGUUUAGCAGUUCAUGAAAAUUUGCCAUGUGUCUAAUGAGUGUUGUUAUAGCCUUUUAUAUGAAUAUAGUGAAGUUCAUAUUAAAAUAUUUGAAGGAUUUAGAAUGCUGGAAGGAUAUAGAAAUUUCUAGGAAAUUGUUCAAUAUGCUUGCGUAAAUAUAUAUAUUAAUUGAAAUGAUUUGAACAUAUGUAGUAAAUUAGACUCAGUGGAUUGUAGUUGAAGGAAGAGUAUAAGAUGAUCCAAAAUACCUGUAUGUAUUUUUGUAGAAGGAUCAUGAUCAAAGUUUGCUAUGGUUAUUGCCAGAACUCCUGAAGAGAUCGAAAUAUAUUUCUCCAAAAUUCUUCCUCACUCAUGACAUUUAGAAGAAUGAUGAUAUAAACGUUGAUCAAACACCAUUCAAGCGAUCAUUUGAAAUGCUAGUAUUUUGGAUGGAAUAAGUAGAAUAUGAGAUAAUAUGUGAUGCUGACAUGAGGGGGAGUAAAUAUGCGAUAUACUCUUUUUCCCUUAACUGAGGUUUUGUCCCAUUGAGUUUUCCUAGUAAGUUUUUUAAUGAGGCAGCAUGUUAUGCGUAUUAUAGAUUUGUGUACUCUUUGUCCUACACUAAGAAUUUUUUUCCCAUAGGAAUUUUAUCUUAGCCAGGUUUUAAUGAGGCACAUCAUCUACUAAUAUAUAUCUAAGGGUGAGUGUUAUAAGUAUUUCAUUAUUAAGUAGAUGUCCAUCAAGAUAAAAAUAAGUUUGAUAUACUCUAGGACUCUAAUAUUAAUUAGAAGUAAAGUUUUAUUUCAUUUAUACUUAUUAUGUCUAUAAAUAUAGACUUUAGAAAAGAUUUAUUAAAAAUUUAUUCUCAUUUAUUCUCCUGUUUAUCUUUAUCUUUUAUUUUUUUAUAAUUUUAUUUCAUAAUACGCUAUGAUAGUUAAUCUAAACAAAACUAAAGUUAAAACAGAAAAAAAAAUUGAAGUUACAACACAUGCAUGUAAACCGUAAUGGCGUCAUCGGCAUUUAAAGCCUAGCUAGAAAAAGACCUUUUAUGAUUUGUAUUCUUAGAUUUAUAAAGGAAAUUGAAAUAAAAGACAGAUUUUAGAAAAAUGUAGUUUUUAAUCGGUAAAGGCAUGAUCGAGAUUUUCGGUCUAUCGGUUGAAGGACAAGUUUCAUCCUUUUGCAGUGAAUCAUUAAAAGGUUUAGGUUAAAAUAUGUCAUAAGUCCGACUCUCUUUACAAAUUUAGUUUUAAUUUUUAAAUUAUUAUUUUCAAAAGAUUAGUCUUUCGAUUUUUUAGAUUUUAAAAUUUAAGUUAGUUGUUAACAUUUUUUUUGGUUAAAUUAAUUGGAGUAAUAUUUUGAAAUAAAAAAAAAACUUUAAAGCAAUGUAAUUAAAAAAAAACGUUGUAGUGAACCUGAAUCAUAAAAAAUAAUUUUAAUAGUGUUAAUAGUCGAAGCUAAACUUUGAAAAAUUAAAAGUAGAGACCUUAAAUUUCUAAAAAUAAAAAUAUAAAGACUAAAUUCUAAAUUAAUGAAAAGUAUAAAAACUUAUGAUAUAUUUUAACCAAAUAUUUAUUCUUAAAUAAAAAUGAUAUUCUAAAACAUCAAAAAGGGAAAAGAAAAGUCACUAUCUAUAACCUCAUUAACAAUAUACACCUAAAAUAUAUGUGCAUGGUCUAAAAGAUUACUUUUAGCAAACAAUGUUUUGUUUCCUACAAAGAAGUUGAUAAAAUAAUAGGAUUUAAAAAUGACAGGAGAAGAUGAGAAGACUAAUAUUUCUUUAAAAUAUUAAUCUCAUUAUAAAUUUUUAUUAUAUUUGUUUGUUUUCGAUACAAUAUCUAGCACUAUUUAUAAUUCUUCUUCAAUCCUUAAAUAGGAAGAUAAUGUACUUCAGCGCACUCAAACCUACGUCUUCCUACAUUAACAACAAUACCAAAUUAAAAGACUAAAAAAUUAAGAUAAUUUAUUUUUUUAAUAAAACUAAGAUAGUUUAUGUCAUUGGUCUAUGCUAUGUAUUGUAGCUCUAUGUAUUACUUUCGUGGAUAAUAUAUCUUGCAUUGAUAAAAGAAAGGCGAAGAUUAAAAAAAGUUUAAUGAUGACAAAGAUGAUUAUACUACUCCUUUUAAAUGUCAAUGUAUUUGAAUGUAUGUUCUUAUAUUACUACAUUAUGAUUUUUAUAUAUAUAAUUUUGUUUAAAAUUUUAUUUCUCAUUAUUUAAUUAAAUUUAAAAAUUAUCAUAAAAUAGAUUAUUUAUUUUAACGUUUUAUUAUUUAAUUUAAAUAACGAUUUUUAGUGUAAUUAUUUAAUACCUAAAUUUCAUUAAUUUCAAUUAAUUAUUUAAAAUAUAUUAAAAUUAAUUAUGAAUAAUUAUAUUGAAAAUAUUUACAAUAAAUAAAUUCGAUUUUAAUUAAAACAAAUAAUAACCCAUGCAUCACACGAGAAAGAAAACUAGUUAUAUAAUAUUUUAUUUUAUAUUAAAUUUAAAUUUUUUAUAUAAUUAAAAUGUCGUAUAGCACAACAUGAUAGGUUGAGAGAUAUUUUUUAACAAAAGGUAACAUUUGGAUUAAAGUAGAAACAAAAUCAAAAUUUAAGUGCCACUUCUAAAAAUAUACCUAAAUAGAAAAGACGUUUUAAUUUAAGGGUUAAGUUUUUAUUUAAGUCAAUUCUCACUGAUGAUUAUCACCUACCAUGCAUUUGAAAAGAAAUACUUCAUUUCAUUUUAUAAAAAAAGAUAAAUCUCACCGUUUUAGUCAUUCAAUUUCAAAAUGUUUCAAAAUGGUCACUGAACGAUUUGAAAAUUUUCAUUUAAGUCAUUGGUUUUUAAAAUCAUUGUUGUAUGAUUUUAUCUAUUCGCACCUUCUGCACCAAUUGAAAGCUUUAAUUUCCCUUCUCUUCUACAAUUCAAUUUUUUCAUACAAUAUCUUUGGAUGUCACGAAUAUACAAACCAAAAUUCAAACAAAUUUCUUCUUCAAUCUCCAAUACUAACCAUCAUAUUUAUUUGGAUCUAAGGUAUGUUCUUGUACUCAUCGAUGGAUACUGACUCAUCAUACUGACCGUGGAAUCGAUGCUUGGUGACUUAACAACUCAGUGACUAAAAUAAAAACUUUUGAAUAAUUUAGUGAAUUAAAUGAAAACUUCCGAAUAGUUCAAUGAUCAUUUUAUAACUUUUUAAAGUUGAGUGAUCAAAACGUAAAUUUGUUAAAUUUUAGUGCCCUUUGAUGUAAUUUAUUAAAAAACUAGGAUUUUUUUUAAUAAUACCACGUGAUAAAGGGUAAUUCAUUCUUUUUAUGUUUCCCUAAAUAAUGGAUUUUUAAUUUAAGAAUACCUACCAUAUGAUAGUGAUAUACAUGGCAUCACUUCGAAAAAUAAGACCGACCAUUUGUAAAUCCUUUUGCAUGAUAUCUAUCAAAGUUGUUACUCUCCUCUAAGUAUCUUCUUUUCCCACCGCUAUGGAAAAAUCAAUAUUUUCUGGACCCAUUGAUGAAGAAUUAAAACCAGACGAAAAAGGUUACCAAAAGACAUUCAAAAACUACAAUCAACUACUACCGACUCUCCCAAAAGGCAAAGGUUGGUGGUUAGACCAGCUUCCCCAAUACCAAGGCUUUUGGCUAACUAGUUUUGGCCUAAGAGGAAGCAUGUUGAUCGAUGACCACUUCAAGCAUUAGCCCAUUGACAUCAUCGUUGCAACAUCCCCUAAAAGCAACACUACUUGGCUUAGAGCCUCUUUUUUCUCCAUUAUCAAUAGACAUUCCUUUGAUUUUAGCUACCAUCAUUUUUGCAAGGCAAACCCUCGAGACUUGGUCAUCUUCUUCGAAGGAAUUAUUUAUACAGAUGAGUCAACUUCCUUUGUCGAUAAGCUUCUUUCUCCUCGUAUUCUCUCAACUCACCUUCCUUUCUCUUUGUUUCCAAAACGCAUGACCAAUGAUAGAAAUCGAGGAGUUUAUUGAGACAAAUUUGAUCAGAUUUUAUUUCUUUCUUUCUUUAGGAUUGAGUCAAUUCUUGAUUAUAAUUUGAUGAGAUCUUGUUUCUUUCUUUUUUUAAGAUUGAGUCAAUCUUUGAUUAUAAAGAUUCUUUAACUCUUUCCUUGUAAAGCUUCAUGUGUUGUAGGUUUGACGGGGAAAUUGAGAGACGAAGAGUGGAAACGUGGGAGAGAUUUUUGGGAAAUCCUUUUUAAUUAAUUUUUUUCAUCAAUUGGACAAAAAUAAUAUACAAACUAGAUGUUCAAAGAUAGGGGUUGGGACAAUAAUAACAAAAAUUCAAGGGAAGAGAUUUGAACAGAAGACAUUUCACACGCAAACACAAUACUUAACCACUAAACCAAAUCAAUUCACUUGAUAAAUUUUAACAAUUCAAAAACUAAAAUUUUGGGACAUUACAACUUUCCCUUCUUAAAGAAAUUUUGACUUCAAAAUUUACUUGACUCGAACAGAUGUGAUUCAAUUAAAUAAUUUUAAGCAACAUAUAAAAUUAUAAACUUAAAAUAAAUAAUUUAAAAUCAUAAAAGAAAAGGGAAAAAAUUCACAAAUUAAAUAGUUUUAAGCAACAUAUAAAAUUAUAAAUGAUGCUUGUGGUUUCUAAUGAAAAUGUAAACUGUUAUGUAGAAUAUAUUAUGUUUAAAAUAUUAUCAUUCUUGUCUGAAAUUUUGAUUCAACUUAAUAUAAUUAAUUUUUGUAUGGUUAAAUUAUCUUUCAUGUUCGUUUUACUAGAAAAUUUUAAAUAAUUCGAUUUGAUUAAUUUGAAAUUUAAAUUUUAUUCUAAUUAAAUCGAGUUUUGCUCAGCUCUAAGAAUAACAGAGAGGAUGGUGAGGGAAAGAAAUAUUUUUUAAUAUUAAUAUAAUUAUUUUUAAUUAAUAUUAAAAUCAAUAUUAAAAUAAUAUUCUUUAAUUAUAUCUCAACUCGCUUAAUUUUAAAUGUUUAACUAUUUUAAAUGUUUAAUUAUUCAAUUCUCUUAACUGGCUGUUGACUUGUAUGUCAUGGUUCUUAAUUUAAAAAUGCUAUUGACGUGGCAGUACCUAAUUGAUUAAAAAAAAUUUUCCUAAUGGUAUUAACUUUUAGGGUAAAAUGAGUAACGAAAAUUAAGUUUGAGUAACAUAUUUGACUAAAAAAAAUUUAAGUAUCAUUUUGAAAAUAAGGUAUAGUUUAGGGGGUAUUUUUUUAAAUUAAACCAUUAAAAUAUUAAUCAAAUAUAAGUUAAAAACAUUUAAAACUUAAAUUAACUCUCUCUUUUUUAAUCGAUGUCUAUUUAUUUAUAGAUUCAGAGAGGUAUCAUUUAAAUUGUUAGUUCAGAAGGACCAACUCGAGAACACCGAUAAGGAAGUUGUGGUGGAGCCAGCUACUGGCUUUGUAUAGCUAGGUUUAAAAUAAUGGUUUGUUAAUUUAAAAAUACCACGUGAUGUUGGUAUACGCAACGUGUAGCUUUGCCAUUCCCACUUUUGUCAAAUAAAACGAUCAUUUGCAAAUCCUUCUUGCAAGAUCUCAAGAAAAUUAGUUGCUCUACUCUACCAUCUUCCCAAUGGAGACUUCAAAAACUUUUUCGAGCGUAGAGACACUAGAUGAAGCUUACCAAAAGGCAUUCAAAAACUGCGAUGAACUGCUGCCAACUCUCCCUCAUACCAAAGGUUGGUGGUUCGGCCAGCUUUUCCAAUACCAUGGCUUUUGGAUACCAGGUUUUUAUUUUUGUUCAUAUCCCUAUUUCGUUACACUUAAAUGUUAUUUUCGCUCAUCUUAUAAUAGAAUGAGUCUGUUAAUUUAGUGAUUAAACUUCAAUGUACUCUUUAAGUAUGUGAAUCCUUGCUUGGGCAAUUAGAAUUAUUUUUAUUAAUGGUCUUGUGAGUAGUACGGCUAGUGAAAUUUGGAUUCGAAAUGAAGUAUCUGGGAAAUAUGUUAGAUAAGGAUUAGGUUUGUUGGGAUAAUGAAAAUAUUUAUUGAAAGAGAAAAAAAAAGAACAAUCCCAAAUUUUUGAUCCACUAAUCACGUGUUUUUUCACUUUGGUCUUCGGUAAAGUUUUCCCAAAAUUUCUUUCUUUCGUUAAUCUUCCCGUUUCUCUCCAAACUUCCUUGGUUUCUUGAUUGUGGUCUCUUGUGUUAUUCAAUUUCUGUGGUGCACGUGUGAUUGAAUUGUUCGCAACUUGACUCUUGCGUAAGCAUUGUCUAUGUUCGUUCCUUCUGUCACUGAGUUUCCCUUUCGUUAUCCUUGGCUAAGUUGGGAUUUUUGUGCUGCAUUUUCUGUUGUUAAUCGUGUGGUUUUUUUAGGUGAAGGUCACGAAAUGGUUAAUCCACUUGCGGAUCUGGCAGCUAGUCUGUAUAUAUUUUGUAAAGUGACUUAUGAUCACUUAGAGGUGUGUGGGGCUGGAUGGGUAUUUAAUACCCUAAUUGGUAUAUAGGGAUGGUCGGAGAUGGUGUGUAACAGAUGAAGGUAGGAUCUGAAUCUGUAUUUAUUAUGCAUCUAAAUCUGUAUCUGCUAUGCAUCGAUGUCUGUAUUAGUUCCGUAAUUUGUUUAAGCAUGUGUAUCUGAUUUAUUGUAUAUAAUGAGUUACACACUGAAUUCAUAAGCUCACUUUCUGUUUCUUUGGUUCUCAAGUAAUCCUCAAACGUAGGACGGAUCAGUGUGAUAGGAGCUCGAUUUUACAUUUUUGUUUUAUAUUUUUGUUUUAUAUUUCCUAAAUUUUGUCCAGUUUAACUUAUUUUUGUUCCGUUGGACUGUUUUAGAUUUUUGGACUGUUUUUAAUUUCGAUUUUAUUUUUAUUUCUCAUUUAGAACCGUUAAACAUUUUUUUUAUAAUACCAAACCUAUCUGCAAAUGUUGGAUUUCAAAAUCAAGUCGUGUUUCCAAAACUUUAUUUAACUAAAAAACAAAACAAAUUGAUUUAAUAAGUGAUCAUCGACAAAGCUAAUAAAUUAUUUUAAAAGGAAGAUUUCCUCAAAUAAACUGGAGUUUUAAUUAUUUUACAAUUUCAAAAUGGGUUCUAGAUUUUCAAAUAAAUUUAAAUAACACCUUCAUAUUUGGUGAUAAUGUCUAGGCUAGGUUUAGAGUGUUACACCUCUUUUUCUUAAUCACCUACUUGUGAAACUUCUUUUUGUUGAAAGAUGCUUUUGCAAAUCUUUUGGUAAUGUCCCAUCUGCAUGGUGCCUCCAAACUUUUAAAAGUAUUGCAGCAAAAUGCGGUGAGUUCAUUGCUACAGAUAGGGGUGAGAAAAACUCGAUUUGACUCGAAAAAAUCGAAAAAAAAUUCGAAUUUUGAGUUAAACGAAUCGAGUUAUUCGAGUUAAUCGAGUUAUUCGAAUCAACUCAAAUUUUUUUUUUCGAAUUUCGAGUUCGAAUCGAGUUGAGUUUUCGAAUUCGAAUAAUUCGAAUAUCAAACUAUAAUAUUUUACAUUUUUACCCCAAACUCCCAAACCUUUUUACUUUUCCUUCAAAACUUUUACUCCUUCCCACUUUCCCCCCAAAACUUUUACUCCCCUCCCCUCCCAACCCCCCAAUCUACCCAAAAUCCAUUUCCCACCAAAAUUUUACUCCCCCAUCCACUUUUUCUCAAAAUUUUACUCCCAAAAACCCUCAAAACCUUUUAUUUUCCCCCAAAAUUUUUAUUCCCUCUCACUUUUCUCCUAAAACUUUUAUUCCCUUCCCAUCCCCCUCCCAUCUAUCCCAAACCCUCCCCCCUCCAUUUUUUUUUAAUAUUUUCCCUUCAAAAUUUUACCCCCCUAUUUACUUUCUCUCAAACUUUUAUUUCCCAAAACUUUUUAUUUUUCCUCUAAACUUUUACUUCUCACCCUUUACUCUCAAAUAAAAAAUCAAAAUUAUCCCAAAAAAAUCACUAAACAUAAAUAGUAAUAAUUUUAUUUAUAUCUACUAUUUAUAUUAUUAAAUUAAAUUUCACAUUUUAUAUUAUUUAUAUUAUUGAAUUUUUUAGUCAUAUUGAAUAUUUAUAUUAAAAUUGAAUUAUUAAUUAUGCCAUAAAAUAUUCGUGUUAAAAUUUUAUAUUAGUAUCAAUUUCACAUUUUAUUUUUAAAAUAACUUUUAUUAAAAAAUUAUAUUUUUACAUUUAAUAUAUUUUUUAAUUCCAAAUUACAUAGUGACAAGAAUCUGAAAAUAAUUGAAACAACUAAGCAAGCAAAGAAGCUAACCAGUAUAUAAAAAAUUAAUAAAUAAAUUAUGAGGUGAUGAAAGUUAAUAAAAAAAUUGAUUAAGGUGGAUAAAUUUUAUUACGAUGGGUGACAAUGGUUACAAGGACCCAAAAUUAUUUUUUAAAAUUUAACUCAACAAAUAUAUUCGAUUCGAUUCGAUUCGAAUUCCAUCUCACUCGACUCGAUUUGAGAAAACUUCAAAUAAAGUUAGGAUGAUAAAAUGAGAUUCGAAAAUUCAAUUAACUCGAAAAUUUUCGAUUCGAUUCGAUUCGAUUCGAUCGAAUGCUCACCCCUAGCUACAGACAGUAACAUUUUAAAUUGCAAUUCUUUUACUAGAAGAAUUUUCAUGAUUAUCACGGAUCAUCUGAGCAGAAUUCAUGAAGAACUGGAUCUCAAAGUCAGUGAUUUUUUUUUUCAAAAUUAGUGUCAUUCAAACAGAACCAAUGGUUAUUCCUAAAAUACAAAAUUAGGAUGAAGAUUACUCAGGGGAUAAUGAAUCGCACAGUGUUCCAUUCAUAGAGGCAGAGAUUAACAAAGACGUUAACCAUGUUGGAGGAAAAUUUGAUAUUUAGUCCCUACAUUUCAAAAGAUAAAAAUUCAAUCCUCUUAUUUUCUUUUUAAUUUAAAAAAAUCUCAUUUCAAUCAUUAUUAUCCUUAUUAGUUUCUAUUAAAAAUUGUAAACUUAAUAUGUUUAUUUUUCCUUAAUCAUAUGACACAUCACAUGAGAGUAACGUAAUCAACAUGCUAAAUUGACAAAUUUUGUCAAAAAAUAUUAAAGGUUUUAACGAUUGAAUUGGUAUUUUAAAUCAAAACAAUUCAAAAACUAAAAUUUUAAGUAUAGAGAUUAAAUCUCAAAUUUUAUGAAAGUACGGGGACUAACAUCAUAUUUUAACCAUUUAUUGUAUCUUAAGAAUCAAAUUGACAAUUUUUUUAUUUCAACUUCAUCGUUUUUGUUGGAGCCAGCUACUGGCUUUGUAUAGCGUGGGACUCGCGAGGUUUAAAAUAAUGGUUUGUUAAUUUAAGAAUACCACGUAAUGUUGGUAUACGCAACGUGCAGCUUUGCCAUUCCCACUUUUGUCAGAUAAAACGAUCAUUUGCAAAUCCUUCUUGCAAGAUCUCAAGAAAAUUAGCUGCUCUACUCUACCAUCUUCCCAAUGGAGACUUCAAAAACUUUUCCGAGCGUAGAGACACCAGAUGAAGCUUACCAAAAGACAUUCAAAAACUGCGAUGAACUGCUGCCAACUCUCCCUCAAACCAAAGGUUGGUGGUCAGUCCAGCUUUUCCAAUACCAUGGCUUCUGGAUACAUAUUUUUGGCAUAAGAGGAAGCAUGUUGAUCCAUGACCACUUCAAGCCUCGAUCCACUGACAUCGUAGUCGCAACAUCCCCUAAAUGUGGCACCACCUGGCUCAGAGCCCUCGUUUUCUCCAUUAGCAACAAAGCUUCCUUUGAUUUCAGCGACCAUCCUUUGCGGAAAGCAAACCCUCAAGACUUAGUCCCUUUCUUCGAAUCAAUUAUUCAUAAAGAUGGGUCAACUUCCUUCGUCGAUGGGAUUCCUUCACCUCGCCUUCUUUCAACUCACCUUCCUUACUCUUUGUUCCCAACACGCAUGACCGAUGAUACCUCGGCUUGCCGUUUCGUAUACAUCUGCCGGGACCCCAAAGACGUUUUCGUUUCAAAGUGGCAUUUCGCGAACA
rnacentral:lncRNA from 1 species